rnacentral:tRNA from 1 species
GUUGUAGCACAGUGGUAGAGCGCUUGCCUAGCAUGUGUGAGGCACUGGAUUCAAUCCUCAGCACCACA